GUGGGGAAUAUUGGACAAUGGGGGGAACCCUGAUCCAGCCAUGCCGCGUGUGUGAAGAAGGCCUUUUGGUUGUAAAGCACUUUAAGCGAGGAGGAGGCUCUUCUAGUUAAUACCUAGGAUGAGUGGACGUUACUCGCAGAAUAAGCACCGGCUAACUCUGUGCCAGCAGCCGCGGUAAUACAGAGGGUGCGAGCGUUAAUCGGAUUUACUGGGUGUAAAGCGUACGUAGGCGGCUUUUUAAGUCGGAUGUGAAAUCCCUGAGCUUAACUUAGGAAUUGCAUUAGAUACUGGGAAGCUAGAGUAUGGGAGAGGAUGGUAGAAUUCCAGGUGUAGCGGUGAAAUGCGUAGAGAUCUGGAGGAAUACCGAUGGCGAAGGCAGCCAUCUGGCCUAAUACUGACGCUGAGGUACGAAAGCAUGGGGAGCAAACAGGAUUAGAUACCCGAGUAGUCC
rnacentral:rRNA from 1 species